AUGUCUAUGUGAUAAGAAGGUUGCCUCUCAAUUACAUGUUCUGGGUUCAGUCCCACCGUAUGGCACCUUGAGUAACUGUCUUUUGCUAUAGACUUGGACUGCACAAAGCCUUGUAAGUGGAUUUGGUAGAAAGAAACUGAAAGAAGCUCAUUGUAUAUAUAUAUAUAUAUAUAUAUAUAU